UCCUCUGUGGCGCAAUUGGCUAGCGCGUUCGGCUGUUAGAUCAACGAUCAAACGGUACCGGAAGGUUUCUGGGUUUGUCUCAAUGAAAGCCCAUCGUUCUCAACCGCCUACUGACUCUAAGUGCAGUUCGAAUCCAGGCAGGGGAG